CUGCAUUUUCACAAUUCCUACAUUCAGGGUUACACGGAAACGCAUCUCUUCCAGCCUGCAGUUUUCUGGUAAUUGUUGCUUUCUCUGUGCCCCGCGCUCCUACUCACUGCUUCCGCUUCUGUUCAAACACGAUUCGGGUUGUUUCAGCAAAUGUUACCGUGGACACAGAAACUUUCCUCCCGGCCCGCCCUGCUGCACCGAAGGACCAAAUUCCCAUAGAAAGCUUCUUCGGGACUUCCGUUUAAAUGCGGCGGGUUAUGUGUAGAGAACUGUUGAGCUAAGUGAGCACUGUUCACAUUUCACCUCAGCCAUUUUUGACAUAAAGAAGAUGUUCGUGCAAGACUCCCCCGAGGAAGCUGCUGAGGAGUCAGACUGAAGUUUAGAUGAUAUUCGCUGGUUGUCCACAGGAUGUCGCCCUGCCCCCACAAAAUCACUCAGGAGGCUGUGGGGUUGAGCAGAAAGGUGCUUAUCCUUGACCUUGCAGCACCCUUUCCACAGGGCACCAA